AGAGAGAAAGAGGAGGAAGUGUGUGUGUGUGUCUCUACAGGCCAAGUCCUAUGAAGUUUGGCUCCAAACGAAGGACAGAGGUUCAUGACAACACAGAUCUGCUUGACACACUGGAUAAUGGCUUCCGGAGCUCCUGAGAUGGUGACUGCUCGUUCAGUGGAGUUGGGCAGCAUGUCCCCUGCGACCUGUACCUGAGCACCUGUUGACUGAAGUGGG